GCUAGUAAUCGCGGAUCAGAAUGCCGCGGUGAAUACGUUCCCGGGUCUUGUACACACCGCCCGUCACACCAUGGGAGUCGGAAAUGCCCGAAGCCGGUGACUCAACCUUUAAGGAGAGAGCCGUCGAAGGCAGGUCUGAUAACUGGGGUGAAGUCGUAACAAGGUAUC
rnacentral:rRNA from 1 species